GCCCUCGUGGCGGAAUUGGCAGACGCGCAGCGUUCAGAACGCUGUCUCGUUUAACGAGGUAGAGGUUCAAAUCCUCUCGAGGGCACCU
rnacentral:tRNA from 4 species